UAUCAUCAGUUCAGAUAAACGCUGGUGAAGAUCUGCAGCUGGAUUUGCACGUAUCAGAGCGAGUGGAGGUGAUCUAUAAGGGUGGAGAUUCAGCAGAUCCACAUGGUGAACAGAUCUGCAUUGUGGAUAGAAGAUCACUAAGCUGUACAGCUGAAUACACACCGAGAACAUCACUCACUAACACAGUUCUUACACUGAGAGGAGUAAAUUCGACUGCCGGGGGAGUUUACAUCGUCCGAGACACGGAGACUAAUGAAUAUUUUCAUACUUACACAGUAUCAGUGACAGUAUCAGUGAGAGAGACAGGUAGAGUGAGUUUCUCGACAGUGCUGCUGCUGCCACCGCUGCUGCUGCUGCUUGUUGUUGCGCUGCCUGUGAUGAUCCUGUACCAGAGGAAACGACUUCAGUUCUACCAAAGAGAUGAACCAUAUUAACUUGUACAGAGGAGCAGCAGUGGAGCAGGAAGACAUCAGAUCUGGAAUGGUACCUCAGCAACGACUAACCUACGAGAGAACCGAAUGAUGUUGGAGCAGGAAGAGAACGAAGCUCAAACAUAAGAAUGGAGUAACAGAGAGAAGAGAUUUAUAACUUCAUGCAGCAUGAUUCUGGAGCAAGGAGAGAGCUAAACUCAGAUAGGAAGACGGGAAUAAAUGAUUUCUCCAUCCCUUUGUUCUUCACAACACCAAAAGAAUAUGACCUGACUACAGAAUCUGCUGGAAUCCUCCCUCAUACUGUUUGUCAGUUCUAGACCUGACUACUGCAAGUCUUUUUUUUUUAAUCCCUUUAUCUGUUACAUAUCCUCAUCAGAUAAUUCUAUAGGCUUCUCCUGUCAUAUAUUACCUUUGGAGAAGAUUUCACUGAGCACCACAUCAUGUAAGAAGCCUGGUUUAGAUCUCCACACCUGCACUCCAACUCUGGAAUAUCAUCUGUCCUUCUCUGGGAUCUGCUUCAGUCCUGGUUCCUCAGCAGUGUGAUGAGCUUCCAGCUCCUCUAAGAAGGUCACAUUUCCACUGCCUUGUGUAGCGUUCCCUCCUGGAUCAUGAAUCCAUUUUAAUAUUGGAUUUCAUAAAAAAUGUUGUUUGCAAAUAUUUUGCAAUAUUAAUUAUAAAGAUAAUAGACUAUAUAGCCAAAGGUAUGUAGACACAUUCUUGUUGAACAUAUAAAAAGGUCAUGGACCCUCUCCUGAUAAGUUGAUGACUUUUUUUUUUAUUAUUAUUAUUAUUAUUAUUAUUAUUAUUAUUAAAAGGCAAUUGGUAUCAUUACCCCUAGAAUGUUCAUAUGUUAUUAUUGUACUGUAUUCAAAGUAAUAAGAUUGGUAUUAUUUAAAAUUAUAGCUAUUAGCGGUUUCUCAUUUAGUAAGGUUUUUAUUUUACUAGUAUAUAACAAAGUUAAUAAUAAGAACCAUUGGUUCCUGGUCCUAGUCCUACUUAAAUGUAUGUGUUUGUGAGGGUAGAGAUGUUGACACAUUUCAUCUGUUAGCACCAGACAUGGAGAUGUCUCAUGAUGCUAUUGUACAGAUAACAUAAACCACUACUCUAUUUUCAGUGUGUUUUAUAACGUGUAUGUGGAAGCGGGGGCGUGGUCAACUCAUCAUUCCUGUACAUAGAGCACGCGGCUGUCACGUGACAAAACAAUGGACGACUCGGACCAGAAACCCAGCUGAGUGUGACAUGCAUAUUGGAAAAGUGCUUCACCUCAGCAACACUGAAUGCCAUGAAAGGAUCAUAUAACUGGUUGGUCAGGAUUCCCUUCAGCAAAGUCCUGCCAGUGUACACCACAAACUAACACAGGUCAGUAGCCUUUCACCUGUCAUGUGAGGAGCGCUUGUUUGUUUAUGGUUUCUCGCAUGCCCAUACAUGUAGUCAUUCGUGUCCUUGUGUGUACCUGUAUCCAUUCAGUUUGGUACGGAUACACGUACCAUUGCAGCCCUAUUGUUUACUGAUUUUUUUUUUUUUUUUUGAUGUACCAUUAUUUUUGCUGGUGUUCAUCUGUUAAGGAUUUCCUCAACACAUUUGGCUGGUUUGGAAGGUCCAAGUAUCAGUGUUAGAGGGUGGCAGGUGAAUGGCACAAAGCAGUGUUUCCCCUAUAUACAUUCAGCAGUGGUGUGCAGUUGAAUGGGGCUGGUAUGAAGUGAAAGGAACCGCACCACAUACGCAGUGACGUCUCCGUACAGCAGUCCAACAAAGGCUAUUCGUGAGUGUGUGCGCACAAGGGAGAAGCAAGAUGCCUGAAAAGGUAGAACAACCUGCCUCUCUUAGCAGAAUGUCCACAGCAAAAUGGGUUACAAGUCAAGCUAAUUGGCUACUAGUUAUUCCCAUAGAUAUCUAUACAUAGAUACCCCAUUUGACUGCUCCAGACACGUCAACGCGUCUGCCAUCAACAUUUCAGACUAUUCCUCCACCAGCAUGCUUAAACCAUGGAGACACACACAACAGCACUCCUGCUGAAAAACAUUGGCGACUCAAGGAAAUCUCAGCCUUUACUUUUAAUAUCUAAAUAGCAGCCAAGUGAAACCAGCAUUUAAACGUUUCCAGUAUGCAGCUGAUUAUUUAUCUCCAUUGGAUAGUGCUGCAGCUGCUCACCAAGGCUCUCUUAAUUUAAGACACAUUCCAUGACUGACGUCCCUGACUCCAUCUCUGACUACCACUGUUUUGUAUAUUGGAGUUUUCAGCAAUGUUAUUGCUUUUGAUGGGGAGCUCUGGGUGUCCUUUUUUUUUAUUCCCCCCAGGAGGUCAAUGACAUUAUUUCUAAUGAAGUGUUUUGUUGCCAGCUCUUGCAGAAAUACUGUGUGCGUGAAGCUGGAGCUAUUUCACCAUCACAUUCAGGCUCCAAACUGCAGUUCUCCCCUCUCACUCCAUUGUACUCCAACUGUGUUGUUUUUUUUUUCUAUUGUUGUUCCUAUUUUAAUAAAACUCUUUGCCCAUUGUAUAAUUGAAAUAGUAGAUUAUGGCCCAACAAUGCUUCUGAAAGAUUUUUCGUUAUUUACCAUUGCAUAUUUGUAUACAGUCUUACCUGACUGCCUAUUGUUUUUUCCAGUGAGCUGAGUACAGGAGUGUUUUGUCACUCCAUUCGUGUGACAUAACAGUUUGGCCACUAUUCAGAGCCCUUAUAGCAUAUUGUACAGAUGGACAUUAUGCAAUGUUUGGUCCCCACUGUUCCUUUCAGAGACGGGGUAGUAUUUGGUAAAUUUAUGACUGUACUGUAAAAUUGUCAUGUGUAAAUAAAUACAGAUUAAGCACAACAUGAUUCAGCACAUGUAGGUUUGCAAACAUUUGUCAGAUGAUAUCUGUGUGUGAUCUUGAUAAUGUGCUUAAACACACUUGUGAAUGCUGUUUGAAAGUGAAAGUGGUUGGAUCCAUCACUCCACAUUCCCUAAUCUAACAGACCUGAUUCAACUCGUCAGAUUACUAGGAAAUUGCUUCAAGUCCUGAAAUGGGUGUUUAAGAUGCGGUAGACAUCCACCAUGCAGUGUUGGGGGCCUUCCAGGAAAAUGGUUCAGCAGCAGGUUCGUGUUCGGCAGAUGUUUGUUUUGUCUCCUUUGCUCUGAAGUUUGAAGAAAACACAAAGAGAAGGGAAAUAGGACAUUACUCCAUUGUCACCUGAAGAACAGGAGCAAGAGACACAGUACAGCAUUGAUACUUUCCAAGCAGCGCCGCCGGUGUCCUGCGCAUCAUUCCAGAUCCUGUGAUUGGACAACCGACCGGUCGAUCUUCCCUGUCAACGUGAUGACGACACCCAUCUCUGAACCAAUCAGGCACCCCCAGUCUACUAUAAGGACUCGGAAAUGACGUAAGACGGGAGAGUGUGUUUCUCCUUUGCUGAUAGUUCUCGCUUGUUUGUCACGCUGUCCAUCCUUUUCGAGUUUCUGGUGCAAUUAUGAUUUGUUAGUUUAUCUUGAGUUAUUUCUGAUCGCUCCCUUUACUCUACAUGUUGUAUUUACUCGCCUCUGGUUUGACUCUGGCUGUUUGCCCGAUUGUGCUGUGAUCUGAUUCCCUUUCUCUCUUUAAGAGUUGAUGGUUGGAUUUAUCUCUUGACUCAUAGUGUUGAGAGGAGGUUAGUAUGUCACGUGACCUACACAAAGCAACAUGUAGAAUAUCGCUUGUAUAAAAACACUAGGAUAGGAGCGGGAGCUAAUGCUUGUAUUUAUGUUUUGUUAGUGAGAGUAGUUAGUUGGCGUUUACGCCGAAGUUUUGUUUUGUUUUCUUUUUCUUUGUUUAGAUUAGCGUUGAAUUGGUUGGAGUUAGUAAGUGUUUUGUUUUAUUAAUUUCUUUGCUUUCAGCUCCGCUCAUGUCUCACAUUGUUGAGGUUUUUUUUAAUGUAUAUAAUUUGUAAAUAUCAUCUCCCUUACUCUUUGACGUUUCUGUCAUCACUGUAAAUAUGAAAAGCCGUCGAGUGUUUUGAUGGACAUAAUUCCUCACUAAAGUUUUUCUGAUAAGCAUUUUCGGUUUCUGUUUGAUUCAUUACUCCACACAUCUCAUUCCUUUAGUAACAGACAGCCUCCCCGAUUCUAAAAACAUCUUUAAUUUCUUUUUCAUUAAUUUAUUCUUUGUGUUGACUUCCUACAUCCCUGGACGCUAAUUUUGACAACAGCAGCAGCCCAAUAGGAAGUCGUAGCAUACAUGCUCAUGUCAAGUAACUUUAGCAGUUUUACACACACUCAGUACUUUUUGACUUUAUAGUAUGCAGCUGUGGAUGAGCAGUGAGGAGGUGUUUCCUCUCAGUCUGGUUCCUCUCAAGGUUUCUUCCUCAUGUCAUUUCAGAGAGUCUUUUCUUGCCACCAUUG